rnacentral:rRNA from 1 species
CCUACGGGCGGCAGCAGUGAGGAAUAUUGGGCAAUGGACGCAAGUCUGACCCAGCAACGCCGCGUGGAGGAUGAAGGUUCUUGGAUCGUAAACUCCUUUUGCAGGGGAAUUGGUACCCUGAGAAUAAGUCACGGCUAACUACGUGCCAGCAGCCGCGGUAAUACGUAGGUGACAAGCGUUAUCCGGAUUUAUUGGGCGUAAAGCGCACGCAGGCGGUCGAGCAAGUCUGACGUGAAAUCUCUCGGCUUAACCGGGAGCGGUCGUUGGAAACUGUUUGACUUGAGGCGAUGAGAGGGGUGUGGAAUUCCCGGUGUAGUGGUGGAAUGCGUAGAUAUCGGGAGGAACAUCAGUGGCGAAAGCGGCACCCUGGCAUUACCUGACGCACAUGUGCGAAAGCGUGGGGAGCGAACGGGAUUAGAUACCUAGUAGUC